GCAUGGCUUGUGAUAACCCAGUGAGGCAAAGUUUAUGAAUGUAAGGUGUUUAAAGUCCGUUUGCAGAAAGAUACUCAGCAAACAGCAACACUGGUGAUACUGGGAUUUAUUUGCAAAAGACCUUAGGUGGUGUGGUGUAACGUUUGGGAAACGCCUUUUUUUCAGCCACGCGCAACGGCAUGCGGCAUCUUAGUUGCCGACCAGGGAUGAACUGGUGCCCCCUGCAGUGGAAGUGCGGAGUCUUAACUACCGGACCGCCAGGGAAGUCCCGGGAAAUGCUCUUUUGGAGGAAAGAGCCCAAAGACUGGCGGUUUUCGGCAGCACCAAGGACAGGGCUGAGGCCUUAGCCCUCCAACUGUUAAUUUCAUGGCCUGGCUGCGUGACCUUGGAGAGGUCAACAUACUUCUCUCGACUGUGCCUGCAUUUUCUCAUGUACAAAAGUGUAGAGGGUUGUAAAACCUAAUAAGAAAGAGAUAUGCAAGAUCUUUGGAACAACCUUAAGUUGUUUUCUUGGCAGGGCAGGGUAGGAGAUACUAAACAUGAAGGUCAUUCCUAAAGUCUCUGUUUCUCCUCCUUAUGGGAACAUGAUUAAGAUUGCAUUUUCCUUUGCAGUUAGACGUGGCCAUGUGAUUCCCUUUGCCCAAUGAACUAUAAGUGAAACCAAUGUGUGUCAACUUCAGCACAAGAUAAGAGCCUGCAAGCUGUUCACCACUUUCCAUCCAGGCUGUUCUGUGUGUGGGGAUCUGUUGGGUGAAGUGAAGUUUCCAUCAGCCUGAAUUCCAGAUGAGCUCGGGCCCUCCGGCUUCUCCUCGGCCCGUUCGCGAAACGAUGUCUCACGCCCUCGCGAGCUGCCGCGUCGUGUGGGAAGAGAAGCGCAGAGACAGAUGGGAGUUUUCGCUAAGUUAUAUACCUGAGAGUUGAGUUGCUGGAUCAAAGAACAGGAACAUCUUCAACUUCCAUGUUCAAUUUGGUAGAUAUCACCCAACUGCUCGUCAUAGUAUCUCCACCACCUACUAGCUGGGAAAUCUGGGAGAAGUCAGGCGGGCAGACACCCGGAACCAUUGUUCGCGGGUGUUUGUUUCCCGCCGGGGCGGAUUUCUGGGGCCGCGUCUGGCCGAGACGGAGGUAGGAGUGGGAGCCGUCUCCGGGCUCUCCGAGUCCACCACCCCGCGCGGCGGACCUCCUGGGGCCGCCCCUCGAGCCGCUUCCCACCGCUCUCGGACCCGAGAGACCUCCGCACCGCGAGCCGGCGCCGGGAGGUAGGCGCUGAGCUCCGGGCGAUCGGAGAGGCCCGAGCGGUGCGUCCGCUGGGUCACUCGCUUAGACUCGCGGGCGCGGGAUGGAGAGGCUUUGAGCUGGUGAAUUCCGGAGAAAGAACUUCAUCUACUCGCCCGUCUGUCCUCCCCUCAGCCUCCCAAAGUGUACCUUGACCCUGAAUCUCUCUGGAGGCCAUGGGCCUCUCCCUCCCUAGGGUGGUCCCCGCCCCUAAGCCGGCCCCCUCCUCUUCCUCCACCCCCGCCAUCCCCAUCCCGCGGCCUCAGCCCGCCUCUCAGGGGCCGUCACCUGCUCACUGAUGGGAAUGGUGUUCCCUAUACGUGCACACGGAGGAGGCCCCCUGGCUGGAGCCCAACACCCCCCCACCCCGCUCCGCAAGGCUUCAGUUGUCCCCAGUGUUUUCAGGUCUUCAAGAGCUGCCCGCACCGCAGGAGCUACAGCAUCUCCCACUCAGAACUCCGGCCCUUCGUCUGCGGCAAGGCCUUCAAGCGCCCCGGCGAGGUAUCGCUUCAUACGCCAGCUCCGGUUGGGUCGGGCUCACACCUGCCCGCUGUGUUCUGGCGUUUUCAGGAUGCCGGGCAGCAGGCGCAGCACGUUCUGGACCACUUGGCUGGAAGGAAUUUCCUGGACCAUGGAGAGACUGCAGGGGCUCCAUAGAAUCUCUUGUUUCUGGUACAGAAGGUAGAGGCUGGGGUUUUGGCCUCACUGUUUACUUGCUGUGUGACCUGAGGCUGCCUCUCUGGGCCUCAGUUUCCUCAUCCUGAAAUAGGGAAUGGCUUGUGUUUCCCAGCCAUCCUGGCCAGGGGUGAGAUGCAGGAGUCUCUUGCUGAAUCCCUGACUGUGCCACAGCCUCUGUUUAUAGCCUGAGAUAGAUCACCAUCCCAUUCUGGAACUCAGUUUCCCAAUCUGUAAGAUGGGAUAGAAUGAAACAUCCUUAUCAGGUGAGCUGCAAACUCACCUAAUAUGAAGGUAGCGCCAACCGCUCCAUCACUUCUUUAUAGCAACUCGUGCCUGCUGAGACAGGUGCAGAUAACGUUAGUUAGUUUUGAUUCUUUUUUAAUUGCAGGGGUAGGGCUGGAACACAAGUGAGGUGGGAGCCUUUCCUCUGCGGUGUGAGUUAUUGGCUGGAGUGCUUUCCUAGGGCCACGUCCCUAGGUCCCAUUAGGGGACCGUGAGAUGCCAUGUGGGGCUGGGAUGAGGUGGAUUGGCUGGGCCACCUCAUGAAGGGCUUCAAAUCCCAGGCUGAGGAACGUGGGGACUUGGUCCUGAGGGUCAUGGGGGCCGUGACAAGAUUUUGUGCAGAGGUUACAUAUGAGACAGCUGUGAGAAGAGUGUCAAGGAGGGCGGGGGCAGUACUGGGGGCCAAGAUAGCAGGGAGAAGGCUGGUGCAGGGGCCCUGCGCAGGAAGGAGGGGCCAGAGCUGGGGCUUGGGGAGCAGAGGGGAACAUUCAGGAUGAGGGAGGGACAGAACUUGGUGUCUUCUGGCUUUGGGGAGUGUAGAAGGGGGGGGCGGGAUGAGGAUGUUAGAGCUUCAGACUGGUGUGGGUGUGGGGCUUCAUUAUGCUCCUGUCCCAGGAGAUAAGCGAGGCUUUUUGCGUUGGUGGGGAGAGAUGCUUUACCUUUGGACGGGGUGACUGAAUUCAUUCAUUCAGCCAAUACUGAACCGAGCCCCUACCCUCUCCCCAGACCUUUGCUAGGUUCUGAGGGUAGAAUGUUGCCUAGGACAGAGCGGGAAAAGCAGGCAGUAAAGUAGCAAAUCCAAAAACGAGCAAGACCACUACGGACUGCAGUACGAGAUGCGGAGGGAAUGGCCUGACCAGACGGAGCAGGGCCUCACCUGCUCACCAGCUUGAGCUCUGACACAACCAGCAGCCGCUUCAGUGACGAAGGAUUACUCGAGUUGAGACCUGAAUGGCCAGAAAGGGUGUGUCCUUGUGAGGGGCUGGGAGGAGUAUUCCAGAGGGCAGAACAGCAAACACAAGGCCCUGGAAGUAGGCCAGGUGGGCUGGCUGAGUUUUAUUCCAAGUGCAGCAAGGAGGGUUUUAGGUCAGGUGAUGACAUGAUUCUGUGGGUUAGCGUAAUUAUACUGCUGCAGUGUUGCCAUAGAGAGAAGGGACGGGGGGGGGGGGGGUUGCGGGGGGGAGGCUGUCAUGGUGAGCUGGGCCGGUGGCGGCAGUGGGUUGGGGAGAAGCAUGAGGUGCUUGCAGACAGUGGCCAUGAGCUCUGACUCGCUCAGUUAGAAGCACGUGCUGUCCAGCGGAUGUGUGACUUCUCGGAGCUCCUGUUUCCUCAUCUAUAAAAUAGGCAUCCGCAUGGCACCUCCCUCCUGGGUCUGCUCUGAGGGUUCAGUGCAUUUAGCGAUGGCUGGCACCAUAGGAAGGGCCCAAUAAACGUUGGUCCUUGUUAUUA